rnacentral:tRNA from 1 species
AGGAUUAUAGUUAACUAUAACACCUAAAUUGCUAUUAGGAGGUAUCAUAUGAUUAAUCUAA